UACGUAGGGGGCAAGCGUUAUCCGGAUUUACUGGGUGUAAAGGGAGCGUAGACGGCGGUGCAAGCCAGAUGUGAAAGCCCGGGGCUCAACCCCGGGACUGCAUUUGGAACUGUGCUGCUAGAGUGUCGGAGAGGCAGGCGGAAUUCCUAGUGUAGCGGUGAAAUGCGUAGAUAUUAGGAAGAACACCAGUGGCGAAGGCGGCUUUCUGGACUGAAACUGACGCUGAGGCACGAAAGCGUGGGGAGCGAACAGG
rnacentral:rRNA from 1 species